GACGAACGCUGGCGGCAGGCCUAACACAUGCAAGUCGAACGAGUGGCGGACGGGUGAGUAAUGUCUGGGAAACUGCCCGAUGGAGGGGGAUAACUACUGGAAACGGUAGCUAAUCCCGCAUACCAUCGGAUGUGCCCAGAUGGGAUUAGCUAGUAGGUGGGGUAACGGCUCACCUAGGCGACGAUCCAUAGCUGGUCUGAGAGGAUGACCAGCCACACUUGAUCUGAGGCACGGUCCAGACUCCUACGGGAGGCAGCAGUGGGGAAUAGUGCACAAUGGGCGCAAGCCUGAUGCAGCCAUGCCGGGUGUAUGAAGAAGGCCUUCGGUUUGUAAAGUACUGUCAGCGAGGAGGCGUUACUCGCAGAAGAAGCACCGGCUAACUCCGUGCCAGCAGCCGCGGUAAUUC
rnacentral:rRNA from 1 species